AUGUUGCUACAGUUGGAGUUUUUUUGUUUCUGCAUCAGGAACAUGAAUAUGAAGCAUACAAAUAUAGAGAAAAUCUUAUGGGGAUUAAGGAAUUUAGGACAACCUGGUUUGGCACACUAUUUGUUCGGCUUGAUCUGCCUUGUUAUAAUUAUUUCCUAUAUUUUCCUGUCAAUUGUCUCUUGCAGAAUCUGCAAUUUGCUACUCUUGUGUUUUCAUGUGAUGGUCUCUUCUCAUUGA